GACCGAUAGUGAACCAGUACCGUGAGGGAAAGGCGAAAAGAACCCCGAUGAGGGGAGUGAAAUAGAACCUGAAACCGUCAAUCUACAAGCAGUGGAACCGCUAUGGUUUACCAGCGGAACCGCGUGCCUUUUGCAUAAUGAGCCGGCUAGUUAUUUUCAGUGGCGAGGUGAAGCCGAGGAGGCGAAGCCGUAGGGAAACCGAGUCUGAACAGGGCGCCAGUCGCUGGGAAUAGACGCGAAACGGGAUGAUCUAUCCUUGACCAGGAUGAAGUCCGGGUGACACCGGAUGGAGGUCCGAACCAGUGUGGGUUGAAAACCGCUUGGAUGAGUUGAGGAUAGGGGUGAAAGGCCAAUCAAAUUCCGUGAUAGCUCGUUCUCCCCGAAAUAGCUUUAGGGCUAGCGUCGGAUGUUUCGUCGUGCAGGUAGAGACCUGAAUGGACUAGGGGGCUUACCAGCUUACUGAAUCCAACCAAUCUUCGAAUGGCACGCCGUGAAGUCCGGCAGUCAGACUGCGGGUGAUAAGAUCCGUAGUCGAGAGGGAAAGAACCCAGAUCGCCAGCUAAGGUCCCAAAAUACAUGCUAAGUGGAAAAGGAUGUGGAUGUGCUUAGACAGCCAGGAGGUUAGCUUAGAAGCAGCUAUCCUUUAAAGAAAGCGUAAUAGCUCACUGGUCAAGCGGGUCUGUGCCGACAAUUCAACGGGGCUAAAGCAUGUUACCGAAGCUGCGAACGUAAGUGGUAGGGGAGCAUUCCCUACGUCUGUGAAGGUUGACCGUAAGGACAGCUGGAGACAUGGGAAGAGACUCUGUCGGCAUAAGUAGCGUAAAGACGGGCGAGAACCCCGUCCGCCGUAAGACUAAGGUUUCCAACGCAAGGUCAAUCCGCGUUGGGUUAGUCGGACCCUAAGCCGAGGCCGAAAGGCGUAGGCGAUGGAAGGCUGGUUAAUAUUCCAGCACCAUGAGCAUCUCGUUUGUACGAUGCAGGGACGCAGGAAGGUAGGGACGCAGGGCUAUGGAAUGUCCUGCGAAAGAUUCCAAGGGUGGUGCUUAGGGAAGUCCGGGCGCCAUGAGCUCAAGGUUUCUGACGAAAAGUCCUGAUCCUACACUGCCGAGAAAAGCUGCUAAGGAGAGGUGCUUGUGUCCGUACCGCAAACCGACACAGGUAGUCGAGGAGAGAAUCCUCAGGCGUUUGAGAGAACUCUGCUGAAGGAACUCGGCAAAUUAACCCCGUAACUUCGGGAGAAGGGGUACCCCGGUAGGGUUCAUAGCCCGAGGGGGUGGCACAUAAAUGUUCCAGGCGACUGUUUAACAAAAACACAGGUCUCUGCAAACUCCAAAGAGGAGGUAUAGGGGCUGACGCCUGCCCGGUGCCGGAAGGUCAAGAGGAGCGGUUAGCGCAAGCGAAGCUGCGAAUUUAAGCCCCGGUGAACGGCGGCCGUAACUAUAACGGUCCUAAGGUAGCGAAAUUCCUUGUCGGGUAAGUUCCGACCUGCACGAAUGGCGUAACGAUCUGGAAACUGUCUCCAGCAGAGACUCAGCGAACUUGUAGCACCGGUGAAGAUGCCGGUUACCCGCACUUAGACGGAAAGACCCCGUGCACCUUUACUACACCUUGACAUUGAGGUUGGCGUUGGACUGUGCAGGAUAGGUGGGAGACUAUGAAACUGGCUCGUUAGGGUCGGUGGAGCCACCCUUGAGAUACCACCCUGUUUAACGCUGAUCUCUAACUCGCACCCGUGAUCCGGGUGGAAGACAAUGUCAGGCGGGUAGUUUGACUGGGGCGGUCGCCUCCUAAAGCGUAACGGAGGCGUGCGAAGGUUCCCUCAGGCUGUUUGGAAAUCAGCCGUAGAGCGCAAUGGUAUAAGGGAGCUUAACUGCGAGACACACACGUCGAGCAGAUGCGAAAGCAGGUCAUAGUGAUCCGGUGGUCCCGAAUGGAAGGGCCAUCGCUCAACGGAUAAAAGGUACGCCGGGGAUAACAGGCUGAUC
rnacentral:rRNA from 1 species